CCCUUAGAGUUUGAUCCUGGCUCAGAACGAACGCUGGCGGCGUGGAUAAGACAUGCAAGUCGAACGGGAUUACUUCUGUAGCAAUACAGGAGUAAUUUAGUGGCGAACGGGUGCGUAACACGUGGGCAAUCUGCCGAGAAGUGGGGGAUAGCUCGCCGAAAGGCGAAUUAAUACCGCAUAUGAUCAGGGACGACAUCUUCCCAACAUCAAAGCCGGGGUAACCUGGCGCUUCUUGAUGAGCCCGCGGCCUAUCAGCUAGUUGGUGAGGUAACGGCUCACCAAGGCUAUGACGGGUAGCUGGUCUGAGAGGACGACCAGUCACACUGGAACUGAGACACGGUCCAGACACCUACGGGUGGCAGCAGUCGAGAAUUUUUCUCAAUGGGGGAAACCCUGAAGGAGCGACGCCGCGUGGAGGAUGAAGGCUUUCGGGUUGUAAACUCCUGUCAUUUGGGAACAAGGCUAUUCGGUUAACUGCCGAGUAGUUGAUAGUACCAGAAGAGGAAGAGACGGCUAACUCUGUGCCAGCAGCCGCGGUAAUACAGAGGUCUCAAGCGUUGUUCGGAUUCAUUGGGCGUAAAGGGUGCGUAGGUGGCGCCGUAAGUCAGGUGUGAAAUUUCGGAGCUCAACUCCGAAACUGCAUUUGAUACUGCGGUGCUUGAGGACUGGAGAGGAGACUGGAAUUCACGGUGUAGCAGUGAAAUGCGUAGAUAUCGUGAGGAAGACCAGUGGCGAAGCGGGUCUCUGGACAGUUCCUGACACUGAGCACGAAGCCAGGGAGCAACGGGAUAGAUACCCCGGUAGUCCUGGCAG
rnacentral:rRNA from 1 species